rnacentral:rRNA from 1 species
AUUGAACGCUGGCGGCAUGCCUUACACAUGCAAGUCGAACGGUAACAGGUUAAGCUGACGAGUGGCGAACGGGUGAGUAAUAUAUCGGAACGUGCCCAGUCGUGGGGGAUAACUGCUCGAAAGAGCAGCUAAUACCGCAUACGACCUGAGGGUGAAAGCGGGGGAUCGCAAGACCUCGCGCGAUUGGAGCGGCCGAUAUCAGAUUAGGUAGUUGGUGGGGUAAAAGCCCACCAAGCCAACGAUCUGUAGCUGGUCUGAGAGGACGACCAGCCACACUGGGACUGAGACACGGCCCAGACUCCUACGGGAGGCAGCAGUGGGGAAUUUUGGACAAUGGACGCAAGUCUGAUCCAGCCAUGCCGCGUGCGGGAAGAAGGCCUUCGGGUUGUAAACCGCUUUUGUCAGGGAAGAAAAGGUUCUGGCUAAUACCUGGGACUCAUGACGGUACCUGAAGAAUAAGCACCGGCUAACUACGUGCCAGCCGCCGCAGUAAAAC